rnacentral:rRNA from 2 species
ACGGGAGGCAGCAGUGGGGAAUAUUGCACAAUGGGGGAAACCCUGAUGCAGCGACGCCGCGUGAGCGAUUGAAGUAUUUCGGUAUGUAAAGCUCUAUCAGCAGGGAAGAAAAUGACGGUACCUGACUAAGAAGCCCCGGCUAACUACGUGCCAGCAGCCGCGGUAAUACGUAGGGGGCAAGCGUUAUCCGGAUUUACUGGGUGUAAAGGGAGCGCAGGCGGAAGGCCAAGUCUGAUGUGAAAACCCGGAGCUCAACUGCGGGAUUGCAUUGGAAACUGGUCAUCUUGAGUCUCGGAGGGGCAAGCGGAAUUCCUAGUGUAGCGGUGAAAUGCGUAGAUAUUAGGAGGAACACCGGUGGCGAAGGCGGCUUGCUGGACGAUGACUGACGCUGAGGCUCGAAAGCGUGGGGAGCAAACAGGAUUAGAUACCCUGGUA